GGGGAUAACACUUGGAAACAGGUGCUAAUACCGUAUAACAACAAAAUCCGCAUGGAUUUUGUUUGAAAGGUGGCUUCGGCUAUCACUUCUGGAUGAUCCCGCGGCGUAUUAGUUAGUUGGUGAGGUAAAGGCCCACCAAGACGAUGAUACGUAGCCGACCUGAGAGGGUAAUCGGCCACAUUGGGACUGAGACACGGCCCAAACUCCUACGGGAGGCAGCAGUAGGGAAUCUUCCACAAUGGACGAAAGUCUGAUGGAGCAAUGCCGCGUGAGUGAAGAAGGGUUUCGGCUCGUAAAACUCUGUUGUUAAAGAAGAACACCUUUGAGAGUAACUGUUCAAGGGUUGACGGUAUUUAACCAGAAAGCCACGGCUAACUACGUGCCAGCAGCCGCGGUAAUACGUAGGUGGCAAGCGUUGUCCGGAUUUAUUGGGCGUAAAGCGAGCGCAGGCGGUUUUUUAAGUCUGAUGUGAAAGCCUUCGGC
rnacentral:rRNA from 1 species